CGGGGAUUUCCAGUCUCCCCGUCAGACGGGUUCCGUCCAAGCACUGA
rfam:Bradyrhizobium sp. AS23.2 Bradyrhizobium_AS_23.2_c62, whole genome shotgun sequence.